rnacentral:rRNA from 1 species
UACGGGGGGGGCAAGCGUUGUUCGGAAUUACUGGGCGUAAAGGGUGCGUAGGUGGCGAGGUAAGUUCGAUGUGAAAUCUCCGAGCUCAACUCGGAAAUGGCAUUGAAUACUAUCCCGCUUGAGGGUCGGAGGGGAGACUGGAAUUCUCGGUGUAGCAGUGAAAUGCGUAGAUAUCAGGAGGAACACCGAUGGCGAAGGCAGGUCUCUGGGCAUUAACUGACGCUGAGGAGCGAAAGCAUGGGGAGCGAACAGG